GUUUAUGAAGUUUCAAAAUAUUAUAUUUUCAGUAUAAAGAAGAUAAUUAAGUUUAUCCGUAAAUAC
rnacentral:tRNA from 1 species